rnacentral:rRNA from 1 species
UACGAAGGGGGCUAGCGUUGCUCGGAAUCACUGGGCGUAAAGCGCACGUAGGCGGCUUUUUAAGUCAGGGGUGAAAUCCUGGAGCUCAACUCCAGAACUGCCUUUGAUACUGAGAAGCUUGAGUCCGGGAGAGGUGAGUGGAACUGCGAGUGUAGAGGUGAAAUUCGUAGAUAUUCGCAAGAACACCAGUGGCGAAGGCGGCGAUCUGGGAAGAUACUGACGCUGAGGUGCGAAAGCGUGGGGAGCAAACAGG